AGAGUUUGAUCCUGGCUCAGGAUGAACGCUAGCGGCAGGCUUAACACAUGCAAGUCGAGGGGCAGCGCGGGAUAGCAAUAUCCUGGCGGCGACCGGCGGAAGGGUGCGUAACGCGUGAGCGACAUGCCCGUUGCCCGGGGACAACCGGUGGAAACGCCGACUAAUCCCCGAUGGGAUAUUGUGCCGCAUGGCACGAUAUUGAAAGUUACGGCGGCGACGGAUUGGCUCGCGUCCGAUUAGCUUGUUGGCGGGGUAACGGCCCACCAAGGCUGCGAUCGGUAGGGGUUCUGAGAGGAAGGCCCCCCACAAUGGGACUGAGACACGGCCCAUACUCCUACGGGAGGCAGCAGUGAGGAAUAUUGGUCAAUGGGCGGAAGCCUGAACCAGCCAUGCCGCGUGCGGGAAGGAGGCCCUAUGGGCUGUGAACCGCUUUUGCCUGGGGGCAAUAAGGGCGUCGCGCACGUCCGAUGAGAGUACCAGGCGAAUAAGCAUCGGCUAACUCCGUGCCAGCAGCCGCGGUAAUACGGGGGAUGCGAGCGUUAUCCGGAUUCAUUGGGUUUAAAGGGUGCGUAGGCUGUGCGUCAAGUCGGGGGUGAAAUUCCGGUGCUCAACACCGGGGCUGCCCUUGAUACUGUCGCGCUGGAGUGCGGAUGCCGCCGGAGGAAUGAGUGGUGUAGCGGUGAAAUGCUUAGAUAUCACUCAGAACACCGAUUGCGAAGGCAUCUGGCGAAUCCGUAACUGACGCUGAGGCACGAAAGCGUGGGGAUAGAACAGGAUUAGAUACCCUGGUAUUCCACGCCGUAAACGAUGAUGGCUAACCGCCGGCGACACACUGUCGGUGGCCAAGCGAAAGCGAUAAGCCAUCCACCUGGGGAGUACGUCGGCAACGAUGAAACUCAAAGGAAUUGACGGGGGCCCGCACAAGCGGAGGAACAUGUG
rnacentral:rRNA from 1 species